GACGAACGCUGGCGGCGUGCCUAAUACAUGCAAGUCGAACGCAGAGGGGACGGGUGAGUAACACGUGGGUAACCUCCCAUCACAGGGGAUAACAAUUGGAAACAGGAGCUAAACCGAUAUUGACGGAGGGCCCCGCGGUGCAUUAGCUAUUUGGUGGGGUAACGGCUCACCAAGGCCACGAUGCAUAGCCGACCGGAGAGGAGGAUCGGCCACACUGGGACUGAGACACGGCCCAGACUCCUACGGGAGGCAGCAGUAGGGAAUCUUCGGCAAUGGACGAAAGUCUGACCGAGCGACGCCGCGUGAGUGAAGAAGGUUUUCGGAUCGUAAAACUCUGUUGUUAGUGAAGCGGUAUCUAACCAGAAAGCCACGGCUAACUACGUGCCAGCAGCCGCGGUAAUAC
rnacentral:rRNA from 1 species